rnacentral:rRNA from 1 species
UAGUGGCAAUGGCGGUGAGGACACACCCGUUCCCAUCCCGAACACGGAAGUUAAGCUCUCCACGGGAGCGCCGUAGAGCGAAGUGCCUCCGGAACGAAGUGACGGUUGGUACUUGGGGCGGGAGCCCUCGGGAGAGUAGGUCGCUGCUA